rnacentral:rRNA from 1 species
GACGAACGCUGGCGGCGUGCCUAAUACAUGCAAGUAGAACGCUGAAGGAGGAGCUUGCUUCUCUGGAUGAGUUGCGAACGGGUGAGUAACGCGUAGGUAACCUGCCUGGUAGCGGGGGAUAACUAUUGGAAACGAUAGCUAAUACCGCAUAAUAGCAGUUGUUGCAUGGCAACUGUUUGAAAGGUGCAAUUGCACCACUACCAGAUGGACCUGCGUUGUAUUAGCUAGUUGGUGGGGUAACGGCUCACCAAGGCGACGAUACAUAGCCGACCUGAGAGGGUGAUCGGCCACACUGGGACUGAGACACGGCCCAGACUCCUACGGGAGGCAGCAGUAGGGAAUCUUCGGCAAUGGACGGAAGUCUGACCGAGCAACGCCGCGUGAGUGAAGAAGGUUUUCGGAUCGUAAAGCUCUGUUGUAAGAGAAGAACGAGUGUGAGAGUGGAAAGUUCACACUGUGACGGUAUCUUACCAGAAAGGGACGGCUAACUACGUG